AAAUAAGAAGCAAAAAAUUGCAUUUAAUUUCGACUUAAAAAUUUGGUUUAUAAACCCUUAUUUA
rnacentral:tRNA from 1 species